rnacentral:rRNA from 1 species
CCUACGGGAGGCAGCAGUGAGGGAUAUUGGUCAAUGGGGGAAACCCUGAACCAGCAAAGCCGCGUGAGGGAAGACGGUUUUCGGAUUGUAAACCUCUGUUCUCUGGGAAGAUAAUGACGGUAGCAGUGGAGGAAGCUCCGGCUAACUACGUGCCAGCAGCCGCGGUAACACGUAGGGCGCGAGAGUUGUCCGGAUUUACUGGGUGUAAAGGGUGCGUAGGCGGCUCUGCAAGUCAGAAGUGAAAUUGAUGGGGUUAAACCGUGAACUGCGGUUGAAACUGCAGGACUUGAGUGGAGGAGAGGUAGGCGGAAUGCGCGGGGUAGCGGUGAAAUGCGUAGAGAUCACGAAGAACACCGAUGGCGAAGGCAGCCUACUGG